GAUGAACGCUGGCGGCGUGCCUAAUACAUGCAAGUCGAGCGAACAGACGAGGAGCUUGCUCCUCUGACGUUAGCGGCGGACGGGUGAGUAACACGUGGAUAACCUACCUAUAAUACUGGGAUAACUUCGGGAAACCGGAGCUAAUACCGGAUAAUAUAUUGAACCGCAUGGUUCAAUAGUGAAAGACGGUUUUGCUGUCACUUAUAGAUGGAUCCGCGCCGCAUUAGCUAGUUGGUAAGGUAACGGCUUACCAAGGCAACUAUGCGUAGCCGACCUGAGAGAGUGGUCGGCGACCCGGGAACUGAGACAGGGUCCAGAGUCCUACGGGAGGCAGCAGUAGGGAAUCUUCCGCAAUGGGCGAAAGCCUGACGGAGCAACGGCGCGUGAGUGAUGAAGGUGUUCGGAUCGUAAAACUCUGUUAUUAGGGAAGAACAAAUGUGUAAGUAACUAUGGCCGUCUUGACGGUACCUAAUCAGAAAGCCACGGCUAACUACGUG
rnacentral:rRNA from 1 species